rnacentral:sRNA from 1 species
GUCUCAGACUUGGGAAAACUGCCUAAUAUUAUGCUGUAGUGGAAUUAUGUUUAGAUUUGAAUUCAUCUGUGAAGCAUUCAAAUCAAAGCUAAAAACCUAAAUGUGAAAUGCUAAUGACAAGCCUGAGAAGAAAACAGGUGACAUUUGUAUCUACGAUAAAAAUUUUUAUACAGAACCUACUGCCUCAAACUGAAUCCCAUCAAGAAAACUAGUUUCUAUUGUAUUAGUAACUCAAAAUAAAUUAUCACUUCGAAAACUUGCUUUCCCACACUAAGGUAAGUUCAGACUAGAUUGAACACUCCAGAAGUUUUUUCUAUUACAGACUGUUUUUAAGUUAGAAGUGAUGGCAAUUUUAUAAAUAGAGAAUAUACUUCCACUGAUGCCCUUACUGUGCCAAAACAAAAAUCUUAAGAAAAGCAAGUAGACACCUUCAUAACUAUGAAUGAAGCUGCUGAGGUAGUGUUUAGGAUCCUCCAUGUCAGUUAGUGAAUGUAAGAAGUACAGUGUUAAAGUGUUGUAAACAGUUACUCAGUGCAAUGUAUAGCCUGAGUCUAUCCAUGAUGGCUAUAUCCAAUUUGACAUCACGUUAUGGAUCAAUACACAAUGAAAAACCAAAGAACCACAGUAUGUCUUAUUCUUAACUUUUGUAAACCAUGUUUUAUGGGUAACUUUUUAGUUUUCCCAAAAGGCUGAUAAAUUUCAAUAUUUUGAGUACAUCAUUGUUAAUUUUGAGUUGGCAGAGGUAAACUAACCAACUACCAU